GGAUCAAUCUGUUGGUCGUGCCUUUGGUACGUACUAGCUUAUUGAUUCCUACCUUCUGACGAACCAUGAUGUCAUUAAUUUGGUGUCUUGGGGAAUCAGGACUGUUACUUUGAAAAAAUUAGAGUGUUUAAAGCAAGCUAACGCUUGAAUACAUUAACAUGGAAUAAUGAAAUAGGACGUUCGAUCCUAUUUUGUUGGUUUCUAGGAUUGACGUA
rnacentral:rRNA from 1 species